rnacentral:rRNA from 1 species
GAUGAACGCUGGCGGCGUGCCUAAUACAUGCAAGUCGAGCGAGCGGACGAGAAGCUUGCUUCUCUGAUGUUAGCGGCGGACGGGUGAGUAACACGUGGAUAACCUACCUAUAAGACUGGGAUAACUUCGGGAAACCGGAGCUAAUACCGGAUAAUAUUUUGAACCGCAUGGUUCAAAAGUGAAAGACGGUCUUGCUGUCACUUAUAGAUGGAUCCGCGCUGCAUUAGCUAGUUGGUAAGGUAACGGCUUACCAAGGCAACGAUGCAUAGCCGACCUGAGAGGGUGAUCGGACACACUGGAACUGAGACACGGUCCAGACUCCUACGGGAGGCAGCAGUAGGGAAUCUUCCGCAAUGGGCGAAAGCCUGACGGAGCAACGCCGCGUGAGUGAUGAAGGUCUUCGGAUCGUAAAACUCUGUUAUUAGGGAAGAACAUAUGUGUAAGUAACUGUGCACAUCUUGACGGUACCUAAUCAGAAAGCCACGGCUAACUACGUG